rnacentral:lncRNA from 1 species
AUUUGGUAGAUUGUCACUUUGGAUCCAAUCUAUAUCAUAAAACAACACAGAACAGCAGAUUGAAGUUUGCAGAAAGAGGUUGAAGAGGAUGCCAUGGGGGAGUCAAAAGACUAUCUGUCAAAGAUAAAAAGGCAAAACUUCCAGAAAUAAUAAAUAUCCACACAACUAAUUAAGACCUACAAAUAUCCACGCAGCUACAAAUAUCCACACAGCUUAUUGAAUGUAAAAAGUUCCUGCUCCACUAUCUGCACCCAUCUUGCUACAAGUAAAAAUUUAUUGAGUGAAGAUUUAUUAUCCAG